rnacentral:rRNA from 1 species
UACGUAGGUGGCAAGCGUUGUCCGGAUUUACUGGGUGUAAAGGGCGAGUAGGCGGGCUAACAAGUCAGAUGUGAAAUACCGAGGCUCAACUUCGGGGCUGCAUUUGAAACUGUUAAUCUUGAGUGAUGGAGAGGCAGGCGGAAUUCCCAGUGUAGCGGUAAAAUGCAUAGAGAUUGGGAGGAACACCAGUGGCGAAGGCGGCCUGCUGGACAUUAACUGACGCUGAGGAGCGAAAGUGUGGGGAGCAAACAGG